rnacentral:rRNA from 1 species
UACGUAGGUGGCAAGCGUUGUCCGGAAUUAUUGGGCGUAAAGCGCGCGCAGGCGGUCCCUUAAGUCUGAUGUGAAAGCCCACGGCUCAACCGUGGAGGGUCAUUGGAAACUGGGGGACUUGAGUACAGAAGAGGAAAGCGGAAUUCCACGUGUAGCGGUGAAAUGCGCAGAUAUCAGGAGGAACACCGGUGGCGAAGGCGGGUCUCUGGGCCGUAACUGACGCUGAGGAGCGAAAGCGUGGGGAGCAAACGGG